CAGCCGCCGCGGUAAUACAGAGGGUGCGAGCGUUAAUCGGAUUUACUGGGCGUAAAGCGUGCGUAGGCGGCUUCUUAAGUCGGAUGUGAAAUCCCUGAGCUUAACUUAGGAAUUGCAUUCGAUACUGGGAAGCUAGAGUAUGGGAGAGGAUGGUAGAAUUCCAGGUGUAGCGGUGAAAUGCGUAGAGAUCUGGAGGAAUACCGAUGGCGAAGGCAGCCAUCUGGCCUAAUACUGACGCUGAGGUACGAAAGCAUGGGGAGCAAACAGGAUUAGAUACCCCUGUAGUCCCUGUCCUUAUACA
rnacentral:rRNA from 1 species